rnacentral:rRNA from 1 species
UACGAGAGGCCCAAACGUUAUUCGGAUUUACUGGGCUUAAAGAGUCCGUAGGCGGCGCAGAAAGUGGGGUGUGAAAGCCCUCGGCUCAACCGAGGAAUAGCGCUCCAAACUCCUGUGCUUGAGGAAUCUAGAGGUGAGCGGAACUGAUGGUGGAGCGGUGAAAUGCGUUGAUAUCAUCAGGAACACCGGAGGCGAAGGCGGCUCACUGGGGAUUUUCUGACGCUGAGGGACGAAAGCCAGGGGAGCGAACGGG